rnacentral:rRNA from 1 species
GAUGAACGCUAGCGGCAGGCCUAACACAUGCAAGUCGAGGGAGAAGCCCUUCGGGGCAGAAACCGGCGCACGGGUGCGUAACGCGUAUGCAACCUACCUUUCACAGGGGGAUAGCCCGAAGAAAUUUGGAUUAAUACCCCAUAAUAUUAUUGGAUGGCAUCAUUUGAUAAUUAAAAUUACGAUGGUGAAAGAUGGGCAUGCGUCCUAUUAGCUAGUUGGGGUGGUAACGGCACCCCAAGGCUACGAUAGGUAGGGGUCCUGAGAGGGAGAUCCCCCACACUGGUACUGAGACAGGGACCAGACUCCUACGGGAGGCAGCAGUGAGGAAUAUUGGUCAAUGGUCGGAAGACUGAACCAGCCAUGCCGCGCGCAGGAAGAAUGCCUUAUGGGUUGUAAACUGCUUUUAUAUGGGAAGAAUAAGGAGUACGCGUAACUUUGAUGCUCGG